rnacentral:lncRNA from 1 species
GCUUUCUUUCCCGCAGAAACUGGAUCGCAGUAGCUCAUGAAUGAUGGUCUCAAAGAUUCUUCUCAGAGUGAAAGAGACAGAGUUCUGGGAAGAUUAGGACAUUUUAGAAAAUCUCUUCUCCCUCCUAAUCAUGAGCACCACCAAUGCCAUCAUUUCCAUAAUCAUCUUUAGAAUUAUCUGAAGUGGAAAGGGAGCAACAGACCUGUCUAAUGAAUAGGUGGGAAAAAAUAGAACCAGCUGAUCCGUGAUUGGGUGGCCCACUGCGUGCGGUCAGGGGGAACCCGAAGGUUGGACCUGCACCCAUUCUCCAGCUUGGACUCCCUCUCAUCUUGCUCGGCUCCUGCCCCGCUGCAGACACAAGACAGUCUCAACAUCCUACCUUGGUGCCUACGCAGAGAACACUGCACUCCAUCUCAGGCUCGUCUUGCUAUCCCCCCUUCUAAACUUUCAGAGGCAUACAUCUGAGCCUCUCUUGGAGUUUUUGUGUUUUGCUCCUUUAUAUUUGAUACCUAUGAUAUCUUGUCACAUGCUGCAUAAUGAAGUGUUCGUCCAUGAGACACCACAUAGAAUGAUGGACCCCUAAGAUUGUGAUGAAGCUGAAGAAUUCCUGUCACCUAGUGAUUUGGUGAUCGUGGUGACAUCACAACACCACACUCCUAUGCUUGUGAUGAUGCCGGUGUGGACAAACCUACUGAGCUGCUGGGCAUAUGAAGACAGCACGAUACAACUACGUGCAGCACCUGAUGCUCCAUCAUGGACCUCUGCAUCUCUGGCUCGUGCUGUGCCUUCUUGGUGCUUUGGAGAGUACUCCUGCUUGCAAAGAGAGGCUCCCUGGGACGCCGUUGCUUUACCUACACUGUCGGGAGUCGCCACAUGCAUCUUGUGUUCUCCGCGUCUUCUUGACUUCAUCGUCAUCUCUGUGCCUGCUUUAAUGUGUGUUGUUGAGCUCAACAUGGGCCUGGGAGCAACAGGCCAUGCCAUGCAUGCCACAUGGCCUAGGCUUGCAGGAGCUGUUCCAUCCAGGUUCAUGUCACCACGCUCAGUGGCAUUCCUGCCUAACUGAGCACUUCUCAGAACAGUCCCAUCAUUAAGCGAUGUGUGACUGCAUGGAGGGGCAGAUCCCCUCCCACUGGACUAUAAAUUUGAGGUUAGCCAUAUUCUCCCUCAUCCCCGACUCCAGCCACCAAGCAGGUGCUUUUGAUUGAGCAAGUACCUCCAUAAGCACCUGUCGAAAGAACCAGGAACCGGAAGUUUGGUUCCAUUGCUUCUAGGACCUGUGUUGACAAGAACACAUUUGGGGGAACAAUACCAGGUUGGCAGAGCAGCUGUGAUUUCCCAGACACCUUACCAAGUCUCCUGGGCACAUGGGCAAAUGACAUUUAUUUGCCUGUUUCCUGAUUAAAAGACCCUAUGACUGUUUACUUUCCUUGGCCAGAAACCAGUUAGCAUGAGACUCCAUCCUCUUUCCCACCAGCUGGCGGGGUGCAGAUAAGCAUGGUGGCCUUGGAAACUGCAUCUGAGGGUUGACGCAGCACAGAUGGGCAGAGCCCAGGCCCUCGAAUCAGCACAUGGAAGGAAGCCACCUCCCAACCACCAACACCGUCUGGGGAUUUUUGUGGGUAAGAAAUAAACAUCUGCCGUGUUUGAGCCAUUUUCAGAGUUUGGGGUUCACGUUGUAGCAGCA